GACGAACGCUGGCGGCGUGCUUAACACAUGCAAGUCGAACGGAAAGGCCCUGCUUUUGUGGGGUGCUCGAGUGGCGAACGGGUGAGUAACACGUGAGUAACCUGCCCUUGACUUUGGGAUAACUUCAGGAAACUGGGGCUAAUACCGGAUAUGAGCUCCUGCUGCAUGGUGGGGGUUGGAAAGUUUCGGCGGUUGGGGAUGGACUGGCGGCUUAUCAGCUUGUUGGUGGGGUAGUGGCUUACCAAGGCUUUGACGGGUAGCCGGCCUGAGAGGGUGACCGGCCACAUUGGGACUGAGAUACGGCCCAGACGCCUACGGGAGGCAGCAGUGGGGAAUAUUGCACAAUGGGCGGAAGCCUGAUGCAGCAACGCCGCGUGCGGGAUGACGGCCUUCGGGUUGUAAACCGCUUUCGCCUGUGACGAAGCGUGAGUGACGGUAAUGGGUAAAGAAGCACCGGCUAACUACGUG
rnacentral:rRNA from 1 species